rnacentral:lncRNA from 1 species
CCGAAACCUUGACUUGAAGUGAAGCUGCCCAACUUAUAAGAAUACCUUUGACGCCUCCUGUCCGUCCGUCCUGACUGCUUACUUGACUCACUCCUUUACUUGAAUAGAAGAUCUCACUCCUUAACCCGGCCUUCUAGUAAUUCGCUGUUCUCUUUCCUAUAAUGUCAUUUAUUAACCCAGGCUCUGGCUCUAACUGCUUGCUUCCUCUCUGGACUUUGAAUCUACUGAACAAGCAACGGAAAAUAGAAAGUGGCCCGUAAGUAUGAGUGGUGUUCAUGGCGUUAGGUGAGUUUCUGCUGCUCUACCAGCUCUGCUUACUGCUGGCUUAACAAGCAAGGUGAAAUAGACAACUCUAGCAUUACACAUACAUAUAGAAGGAAGUAACCAAAGAGCAAAACACUACCCGAAAUCAACUCGAAAAGAGAAAUCAAUAAUGUGGACUUGACUUUAUACCCGGACUUCUUCUGCUGACGACUAAUCCUCUUAUUAUUAUUCUUGUUAUCUUAUCCGUAUUCUUAUAAUAAUCUAAAGUGACUUAUCCAUCUAUUCUCUUAUCCUAAUAGUCAUUCUCUUAUCAUAAUAGUCAUAGUAGCAUUGGAUCCAUAGAAGAACAACCCCACUCGGUAUUAUUGCUUGUAUUAAUGGAAAAACGACCAUACCCUAUACAAUAUUGAUGGAACGAAGCUACCCCGCGUAACUAUAUCUUUUUGAUUAAUAGCAUAGGUGGAGAUCAAUAGGGUUGUAAGCUAGCUCGGCUACCGGGUGAGAGAAGCACUAACGCACAAAAAGAGUGUAGCGGCCCCAAAGAGCGUAGCGGCAGUGUGUUGUGCUAAGAAGAAAAGAUACAAGGGAAGUGUUGGUCACAGAAGCAAGGUUCGAAGUCAGUAAUUGAAGAAUCAAAGUAAGGCAAUGUAGACUCAAAUCGAGGAUAGUCAUAUUUGGAUGGGCAAGUGUUAUUUGAUAUCAUGAGUAAAUAGGCAGUAGAGCGCCAGGUUCAAGGUCAGCAGCGCAAGUCCUUGCUGGUAGUUAAAACAUUGUCGGUGCUAGUUAAAACCUGAUGCCCACUACCUAUAUUCUGUAUUUUACCGAUUAUCCAUCCGUUAAGACGGAGUUCUAUGUCAUUGUAUAAGAAAUCAAGUCCAAAUCCAUAUCCAUUUUCUAAUGAGAAAAGAUAGAUGUUAACAGUAAAGCAUAGGAUCCCAGAUCAGUAACUGCGGAAUGAAAGACAUUGUAGUAGGAAUUAGAGAUAAGAUAGUCAGGUUGUAGCGAACGAGUAGGGCUUAGCAAGUGUAUUUAGCGGGAAUGAACCCAAGGAGUUUAUGAAUUACCUAGGAUUAAGCCUAAUAGCAAGGAAAGUCAGGCUUGUGCACAUGGGUAUUUGAGACCGGGUCGGUUAGUUUGCGGGUAGCACUACAGAAAGACUUAAGGCAUCCAUCGUAUCGGUAUGAGGAGCAGAGGGGACAAUAAAGGAAGGAAUGCCAGCCUUAUUAAUAACCCCGGGGCAGUCCCACAGUCAGUACAGCAAGAACAAAAGUCAGUAAAUACAGAACGAUAGCCAAGAAAGGCAUACCACCAGUGGAAUAUGGAGGUGAACUAUCAGAAUGAGAUCGAGUUUUUGUAGCCGGAAAAGAGAGACUUAGUGAAUAGGUAGUGAGUCUGAUAGGUCGCGGGUUUGGUUAUUGGGACAAAAAGGUAGCCUUGUUCAUAUUAGUAUAAGAUUUCAAGCACGGAGGGGUAGGCUUGGAAGCGGGUCUCAUAAGGAGUAGAGCCCGUACUUUCAAGUAUAGGGUUUCUCCUUGUCCUUAUUAUAAUAGGCGCUCUACUGCCCGGUGGUUUUUUCAUUAUAUUAGGAGUGACAUGACAGGUCGAACCAAGAAGUAAGGGGCUGGGGCUAUUACUGUGAAUUCUGAUAGGCGCUGGGUUCAUUCCAAUAGUCAUAGUGGACAUAGGGGGUAGUAUUAGUGAAUCUGGAUGUCGCCAGUAGAGUAGCAACGGUUGGUGGAAUGGAAGGCCCGCUCUGAAUUCUCAGACUCGCCAGUGAAAUUCAAAUCACUUUGCAUAGGACUACUGCUAUGUUACUACUGGAUUGAGUCUUUAGGGUUGCGCUUCAUUCUCUUAUCACUACGACCUUACCCCCUUAGUCAAAUUCGGAUUAGUGGGUGUGCUUGCUAUACCUCGUACUCUAUCCAUGUUGUCCUAUUUCUAUUCUCUUUUCUUUUCCUAUUGUAGUGCCGGUGUCAAGUAAACAUCAUAUUCUUAUUAUUCAUAGUCAAAUGUCACUCUCUUAUUAUUCAUAGUAAACAUCAUUCUUAUUCUUUAUAGCCAGCAUCAUGAUUAUUGGUCAACAUAACUCUUAUUACCAAGCUAUACCUUUCAUCUAAUCUUGGCAUACCGAUCCACUCUUUCAGGGCCGAUCCACUCUUUUUAGUGUCGCGUCAGCGAGUUCCCCGGACGCCAAGCGUAUACUAUAGGAUAGGAAACGAGUCUCCAGUAUCAAGACAAGUAGUAAGAAAUCCACUAUUGCUAUAUAUUGCUUGUAUUAAUAGCACACAUGGGUAGUAUCAAUACAUAGGCACAUAGGUAGCAAUGAACUUCACGGAGAAUAAUCUGAAUAGAGAUGUUUACGACGCAACAGAUCCAUAGUUCAAUGAAAAAGAAACUACCCCAAUUUCGAUAAGAAAAUAGAAGAAAUAGAAUCUCAAAUAACGUUUCAAUAAAUAAUGCACGUAAGGAGCCCUGCCCGAAGCAAGUAAGCAUCCAAAGGAAGUGUUAGAGAAUCGAAUACAGAGUUCGGAGACUUAGCCCAAGGAAAAGCAGACUUCAAAUCCGUAGUUAGGAGCGGGGUAGCUUCACAGGCUAUGAGAAAGGAUUAGCAGACUGACUUCUGUGUUUGUUUAAGCCUCUGUGUUGAUGAUGUUACUCAUGAGUUCCAAGUCAAGGUCCUGUUAUCUUUAGUAAGUUCUUCAUUCCAAGUUCAAGUGUUAUCAAUAUAGUAGUUCAAUAAGAGAUAGAUAAGAAUUCCAUUCUCAAGCCAGAGUUGUCGGGGAAGACUUGGUAGCAGUGGUCGGAUUCUUCUGUCGUGGGAACAAGUCCUUAGUUGAGUGCGAGUCCUGUUAGCCCCAUUGCGAUUAUCCAUACCCCUUUUUGAUUCUCACCAGUGGUAUAGGGUGAUAAUUCUCUAUUGCUAGGGUCGAUUCCCUAUUGUCAGUUCAGGUCUUAGAGACACCAGUUCUACUUAUAGUGUAGAUACAGUUAGUCUUGCUUUUGGGGCCAGUCAUUCUUUAUUCUGGGGGAAGCCUCUUAGAAGCACCAUUCUCAUACAAACAACCCCUCUUCUCUUCUUAGAUAGAAUAAGGCGGGGUUCGUAGUCAGUAAAGCAAGGUUAUAGCGCAGUAAUUGGAGAAUAAGAUAGAGCAAGGGGAGACUACACUUAGCAAACAGGAAUGCAAGGUAAGUUGUUAGUUUGAAACCCAGGAUAGUCAGAAUCCAAGUCAUGUGAAAACCCUACUCUAAUAGUUAUACGUUACUUGGCGCUGUGUAAAGAAAGAGACGCAUCGGAAUCAACAGCCGAAGAUGGAUGUCGAAUCUUAAGGAAGAUAACUUUACUUGUACUUUCUCCAAUCCAUUCUAUUCUCUUACUUAUGCGGUUCUGCAACCCAUACUUUCUCUAAUCCAACAGAGAUAAAAGGAAAGAAAGAGUUGUGCUCCUCGCAUCGUUAUGAAAUUGAUCGAUAGAAUUGACCAGGUGGGGAGAGGAAGGAGUGCUAUAUUCAAAAGGACAGGUUCCCCUAUUUAUGUUCCCAACAGUGGCGGACACUCUCUUUGCAUUGAUUCAACCUUAAGAUUAAGAUAAAGAAGGUCAUCAGGCGCUGCGAUAAUGAGGUCGACUAGACAGGGGAGGCUCGCGUCUAAAUAAGGCUCCAAAGAGACCUAUUCGGAUUCAUAGUAUUCUAAUAUGAUACUCGAAAAAAUAGAAAAGUAGGCUCAAUCGGAGUUUGACUAUUUUCGACUAUCUGCUAGGCAAUCGGAGUACUAUUUGCUUUCCGGUACUAACCCAUAAGUAAGUGCAAACACAUACCUAUUAGGCUAUCUUUGGAGGGCGGCCCCCUUUUCGAUCCCAGUUAUCGCUAGAGGAGGAGCAGCGGGCCCUAAGCAGUGUGUGUGACGUGGUUUCAUGAAAAGAAAAGAAUAUGCUUAGGCAGGCGCAUAAACAUAGUAAGCAGACACUUAAUCCGGAGACGCGGAUAAAGAAAAAAGCAGUGUUUUAUGAUUUCUCCUAUCUGCUAACUCAGGUCGUCGAUAAGGCAUCCAAACCAACGAGAACUUUCAAUAUAAGGCACCAUCCCGCCAAUGUGUUUUGAUGUUAUUCCUCAUUGCAAGUAAAAGGAAAGCUAUCGAGGAGCGAAGUUGACCGAGCCUACGACGUCUUACCUAGAAAGUAGAAAAGAAAUGCCCUAUAGACCUGAUUCUUAUUGCAUGCCUAUUAUUUAUACCUGAUUCUUAUUGCAUGCCUAUUAUUUAUGAUGAUUGCUAAGAGCUCCUUCUCUGCAUCAAUUGGGACUAUUUCUAUCUAUGAAAAAGCAGCAGCACGAGAUUCGGUGGAAGUGGGGAUUGUUGCACAGUUCUGGGGAUUGCGCUUUCCCCCCAUGAUAAGAUUUCCCUUGCUAGUAUAGAUGUCCCUGCGAUCUCGGAUUCUCGAAGAAGAACACAGGCAGCUCCUUAUCGAUUCUCAAGCAAGGUGCUGAAAGCCUUAUUCUAUCAUUCGCGGUAUCAAGCAAUUGCCUCCUCAUAUUACGUAUUCGAAAAGGUAAGCAAAGCGGAUCUCUCCUCAACAAGGCUUUCGCGCUGGAGUUUUCUUGCAGGGUUCAUUUUCCCGGGUGAAAUAGAUUCAAGUGCAUUUCCUUUCCUAAGUAACAGUUCCAUCCUGCUCUCAUGGAAUUUUCCCCGUAUUUGUUGUUGCAAGUGAAUUGGACUUAAUAGACGUCAAUUGAAAUCAGACAACUUGACCCCAUACCCGCUUAUAGUGCCGCUUGCUUGCUCGAAGCUGGAAGUAUAGUGGCUACAGCUCUUUCACUUAGUCGGUCAAGUGGCUUGAAUAGGACUUUCCCGAUGUUCAUUGGCCUUUUCUUCGAUGUCAAUGUGCUCAGGUCCUUUCUUUGCCCCGGCUUGGGCUUCGGCCUAAGUAUAUGCUCCUUGCUAGAUCGGUUGUCCCGCAUCAUCAGAGACUCCUUUCUGCCCAUCCUCAAUCUUAGUCUAACCGCUUGGGUGUAUACAACAUAGCAUUUAACCCCAACCUUAGGGAUUGGUCUACGAGUCACUUAUAUUCUAUUGAUUGUUAGAAUUCCCUCGAAAAGACUAUGACUAUAUUCUGGCUUAUCCACUCCUUCUCAGUCUUAAAAAGACUAUGACUAUAUUAUUCGGGCUUAUCUACUCUUUCUCAGUCUUGGUAGGAUGCUUUUUUCUCUCCAUCCGUCUAGCGGGAGAUGUAUUCCAGCAUUCUACAUAGAAGAGAGCCACGGCCUCAUCGAUCCUCUUCUUCACCAUUGGAUCCUGGGACUGAAGGGCUUACGAAGCAGUUGCCAAAGACUUUGGGUUCGAUCUACGGGCCACGGGCCGAUUCUGAAACUCCCCUGUAUGCCAUCUAUCUUCGACUCCCUUUUCCAACGAUCGAGCUAGUGCCCCUUAUUAAUGCUAUCCAGGGGCUCUCCAUACUGAAAAGAAUGAAUCAGCCUCAUGUAAGAUGCUCUGGUAUUUAUUUCUCAAUGUGUGAAGCCUGCAGAUCUACACCAAAUGGAGGCCCAUACUCACAGAGAGCUAAAGCAGACUGGUGAAACACAAUAGGAGAUCAUGCUUAACACAUAAAGAUGUACAGCCCGUUCUCUUCACACUCUCACUAUAGGCAUAGGAUCUUUUCAACCGCUUCGAUACCUUUGGCAUGUAAGGAAGGCUCCCGCAUCAUCCGCGGCUACUCUCCCAGCGCUAAACUAGUGAAUGCUACUCCUUACUCUCUUUAGGAGUACUAGAUAUUUCCAGAGAUGCGGGCAGCUUCUACUAUAGCAGCAUCCGAUGAGUCUUGCUGGAAGCUAGGUGUUAGAAUAAGGAUAGCUCAAAAGCUUUAGUAGGCUUCAUACGUCGAUAGACAGAGAGAGUAAUAGAAGCUGAGCUGAUUGAAAGAUGCGCUCUGGACAUAAUGUCUAAGGUGAGAUUCCUUCUUGGGUUAUUGUCAUAAUAUGGAAGCCUAUAACUGGCUUAUCAAGUGGGUAAUAGGUUCAUUAUUACCUGAGAAAGUCUAUUAGCUCAGUCUAUUAGUUAAGUAAGUAAGAAGGUAGGCUCUGACUCCAUUUUCUUAAGAAUCCAGAUUGUUAUCCUAUCAGUAUAGAGUAUGCUGACCCAAUCUCGAUUUGGAAGUCGAGACAUCACAACUCCUGGGGCCUUAGCGUAUACUUUCUAAUGCUUUGAGGUCUCCUUGCUAUCAUGAUUCCAAUCCGGCUGAUUGACUACAUCGAAAGCGAAAAGGACAGAAAGAACGAGGUUAAGGGUGGAAGAGAAGAGAGCGGUUUAGUUGCCUUUUGGGAGUCCAUUGCAUCAAGAGUACGGAGGCUUAAGGAAACUUUUCGCAAGUAACAGCGAUCCUUGCAGAGACCCUUAUUACUCUCAACCAUGUUCCGCUAAAAUGAGAAAGGUUCUAUUCUAUACAUUGUAGCAAUAAACUUCUAUAUGUGUGGAUGGUGAGUAACUCAAGGAAAAGGGAUUUUCCAUAAUUCUAGUAGGGGGGUGUAGUAAUAGAGAAAGAUGAAAGGAGUUCAUAACCCGGGUAGUAAUAGAGAAAGAUGAAAGGAGUUCAUAACCCGUAUCAAAUCCUUUUCACAGAAUUACUGGGUGGAAUUAUUCAUGAACCUGGAAACCACUGAUUUAACCUGGAAAGCUAUCUUGAUGCCCAAGGAUAUAAGAGGAUAUAAGAAUCAAAGGGCAGAAAGAAAAGGCUUUGAAGAAAUAUGACAAUAAGCAGAACGACUCUAUAAGAAAUAGAAACUGCCGGCUAUCCUAUUUUAUCCAAAAGCUGUAUAGGAAAGUGGAAGAGAGAUGUG